rnacentral:rRNA from 1 species
UACGUAGGUGGCAAGCGUUGUCCGGAUUUAUUGGGUUUAAAGGGUGCGUAGGCGGCCCUGUAAGUCAGUGCUGAAAUAUCCCGGCUUAACCGGGAGGUGGCAUUGAUACUGCAGGGCUUGAGUAAAGUUGAGGUUGGCGGAAUUGACGGUGUAGCGGUGAAAUGCUUAGAUAUCGUCAAGAACACCGAUAGUGAAGACAGCUAA